CAAGGAAUAGUUUAAAUAGAAUGUCAGCUUUGGGUGUUGAUGGUGGGGAAUUGACUCCUUCCUUGA
rnacentral:tRNA from 1 species